rnacentral:rRNA from 1 species
AACGAACGCUGGCGGCAGGCUUAACACAUGCAAGUCGAACGCCCCGCAAGGGGAGGGGCAGACGGGUGAGUAACGCGCGGGAAUCUACCUAGUUCUAUGGAACAACAGUUGGAAACGACUGCUAAUACCGUAUACGCCCUAUGGGGGAAAGAUUUAUCGGAAUUAGAUGAGCCCGCGUAAGAUUAGCUAGUUGGUGAGGUAAUGGCUCACCAAGGCGACGAUCUUUAGCUGGUCUGAGAGGAUGAUCAGCCACACUGGGACUGAGACACGGCCCAGACUCCUACGGGAGGCAGCAGUGGGGAAUAUUGGGCAAUGGGCGCAAGCCUGAUCCAGCCAUGCCGCGUGAGUGAUGAAGGCCUUAGGGUUGUAAAGCUCUUUCAGUAGGGAAGAUAAUGACGGUACCUACAGAAGAAGCCCCGGCUAACUUCGUGCCAGCAGCCGCCGUAAAAC